rnacentral:rRNA from 1 species
AUUGAACGCUGGCGGCAGGCCUAACACAUGCAAGUCGAGCGGAUGAAGGGAGCUUGCUCCUGGAUUCAGCGGCGGACGGGUGAGUAAUGCCUAGGAAUCUGCCUGGUAGUGGGGGAUAACGUCCGGACACGGGCGCUAAUACCGCAUACGUCCUGAGGGAGAAAGUGGGGGAUCUUCGGACCUCACGCUAUCAGAUGAGCCUAGGUCGGAUUAGCUAGUUGGUGGGGUAAAGGCCUACCAAGGCGACGAUCCGUAACUGGUCUGAGAGGAUGAUCAGUCACACUGGAACUGAGACACGGUCCAGACUCCUACGGGAGGCAGCAGUGGGGAAUAUUGGACAAUGGGCGAAAGCCUGAUCCAGCCAUGCCGCGUGUGUGAAGAAGGUCUUCGGAUUGUAAAGCACUUUAAGUUGGGAAGAAGAGCAGUAAGUUAAUACCUUGCUGUUUUGACGUUACCAACAGAAUAAGCACCGGCUAACUUCGUG